GUCUCCCCCUUUCUCUGUCCACCCCCACCCACCGCCCCGCUCAUGCACUGGCUUGCUCUCUCUCGCAAAACAUUAAAAAAAAUUUUUUUUAAGGAAAAAAAAAGGAGGUGGGGCUUUGGGGAAGUGAAUGAGACAUGAAGGCAGAAGCUUCAUGAGUAGGGGAGAGCUCCCUUGCACCCUCUACCUUGUGAGGACACAGUGAGAAGCCAGCAGUCGCAAUCCAGAAGAGGGGUUGCGCCCCACACUGAAACUGCCGGUGACUUGAUCUUGGACUUGCAGCCUCCUCGAUGGUGAGGAACAGAUCUCUGUUGUGUAAGCCGCCCAAUCUACCAUAAUUGGUUGCAGCAGCCCAACAGACUACGACAGACACACUGCAUGUCAUAUUAUGGAAAAUAGUCUUUCUUAAGCACAGUAAUCGAGUAUUUCAGGACUUUAUGUAAGUAAAGUCGGAUCAUAGCUUCGUAUCAGAAGAACAACUCUUGUUUUUAUAGAUUUAUGAUAUAGACAUUAAGCUGCAGGGAUUAUGAAUGUGAAAACUGGGAACAAAGAUUGAAUAAAGCUUUUGCUUAUUUUUUCCCUAUGCCUGAGGAGUCAUUCCAUUUUCUGGGUCAGAGGCUACGAGGCCGUCGAGAGCACCACCUUGAACAUGAGAAAAGUCCUAAGCCCCUGCUCUGAAGGGGAUUGUGGCCCAUGGGCCAUUACCAUGGAGAAGUUAAGAUCCUUAAAACAUAUCUAAAUAAAAUGAAGUGACAAGAGGAAAAAAGGAGAACAGAAGCUCUGCAUGCCCAGGGGGACUUUUGUUUAUGAAAUGGAAGCUGUUCGUGGAGACUGUGAGGUUUUACUGUGAACACAAGUUUCACCUCUAAAGCUAACUGAGGCCCCACAGCAUGCCCACACAGGACGCGACUGCGGGCGAGGGCCUCGAUAAUCAUCUCGUCUGGUAGAUUUUUGCACAGAGGCUCAUCUGGUCCCAUUUUUAAAGACAUGGGAAUUUUCCAAAAAAGCCAAACUUCAUUCCCUCGUAUGGGCUUUCAAAAGCAGUUGGUGGCGUUUUGGUAUUUUGGAUUCUCACCUACCCAUACGGUAUAAACAAAUCGCUUUUGAGGCAAGUUCUCAUCACGCAACACAGCCUGGUUAUCAGUCACAAAGGCCUGUCAUCAGCCUCUGCAGUCUCAUCCAGUCCCUCCAGGCUGGAUGCCUCCCGCCUGAAUGCUCCCCGCGUGUCUGAACACACCGCCCCUGUUGGAUGAGGAGCUUCAGGCUGGGGCUGGACCCCUCCUCCCUGCAAGAAAUUGCUGCUUGUAGAAGUCAGGGCAGGUCUAACUCAGGCAUGACUCAGCUCUUCGUGACCCGCGUUCUCCUUUCUCCUUGAUGAGACUGGUGUGCUGGCCCCACUUAUGGAAACAUGUGCCCUGCUCCCUCCCUUCGCCCUGCCUCAAUUUGCAGAGGGAGCAUCCCUUUAAAGAGGAAUAUUUAGGAGAUUCUAUCAUGGAAUUCUUGGGAAGAACGGUUUUGCUCCCACCGGACAAAAGAGUUUUUCCCCCUUUACCAGGCACCCAACCACCGCCCAUCUCCCCUUUCUCCCACUUUGCUUCUGGAUGUUUCUCUCUUACCCGGAUUUUCUCCCAGUUUGGGAUUAUCAGUCUAAAAUGAGAGUCUGGAGUUCAUCAGUGUUAUCGAUAAAACUUUGCAACUAUUUCAAAGUUUUUUCCUGUUCAAAUAGGUGAGGCUGCAAAAUGCUGAAGGGGGCACCUCUGUUCCAGAGAAAGGGAAAGAAAAACACUGCAUGACAAAAAUACGUGGUGGGAAGUAGCACGGGGAAUCUUUGUCGAUUUUCUCUGACCACUUUGAGAAUUGUUUUUCCUUGAAAAGAAGAGAAAAGAAAAGACAACCUACCUAAAAUAUUAAUGCUAUUGUUAGAGUUCUACGAUAAUCCAAAGCAGAGUCAUUUUGAAAGAAAAGGUAGGUUUCAUUUCUGGCAGCGGAUCCCCUCCGCUGAUUUACAUACUCCUUGACAUGAUUCACUAUAUGAAGCGACCUUGAGUUCAUACCACAGAUGGAAAAGAGCGAGUACAGUAAUCAGCUAAGCAUUCGUAAGGACUACCAGCUGAGGUUUGAUUUCGAAUCCGGAGAGAGUGUUUCACACACAUUCCACUGAGCAUGCUGGUCAAAAAUCUCACAUUCCAGAUGCAGCAAGAAUGCAUGCAUUGAGCGCGCGCACACGCACACACACACACACACACACACACACACACACACUGGCCUCCAGACAGCCCCCUGUGCACACAUGUUCUAACACGGUUACAACAGAGCAUGCUCCCAAGCCUUCAAGCUUCCACAGCCCUCAGCCAAGAAGCUGCCCCAGAGAUAGUUGCUCAAGCAGCGGGUCACGGUGGGCUUGACCUCUGACACCCACAGCUGCCCCAGCGGACUUCCCGGGAGCCCCAGGGGCUCAGAGGAGGCUGAGUGGUAAGGAUGCCGAAAAAGUCCCAAGCAGUCAUGCUGCUUCUCGCCCUUAGUUUUCCUUUCUCUCUCGUCAUGCCCUGGAGACCGUGAACCUGUUUGGGGCGUUCAGAGAGGCCAUGCUACCCGGUAGUGACAAUAGUUACUAACAAAAUGAUGAACACAACAACAGUUCCGGCAGAACAAGAGGUUUUAAGUUAUCUCACGUUCUUGUCAUUUCCUCGCUUCUUAAAGCAUGUAUUUUGUUUUUCCAUCCUUUUGUUGCGGGUGGCCCACUGUGCUGAAGUCAAGCAGGCCACGCAAAGCUCUGACUUCAAAGCCAUUCCUUGAUAAAACAUCAAAACGGCCCAGGGUGGGCCAGCUGUUAUCUGGAAUUCUACAGAUAAUUCACUGAAACUCGGUGCUCACUAGCCGCAGAGAGUUUCCGAGGCAAGGCCGUUCCCAGGGUCCUGCUUGAUUUUGUUGCCGCGUCUCCUGUGUUUUGUUAGGCAGGGAGAGGGUUGGACCGUCUCUCAAUAAAACUCCGUGUUAGCGCACCGGAGAAACCUGACUCCUGCUUGGCCUCGUAGAGGCCGGAAAUGUGAACUGUGCCCUCCCUGGCCCUGAAGGUGACAUCGUCUUGCUUCUCCUUCUCCACCUGGAAGCACCAGUGACUGCUUUCCCCUGGGCUUUGGUUCGCUUUGGAAGAGCCGUGGCCUGCUUUCCACCAUGAAUAUCAGAAAUACUGCCCUUUCAACUCUGUGCUGUAAAAUGUGAUGAUACUGCAUCUUCAUGAGGUACCGAGUUCCCCACUUUGGGUUUGCCAGUCCUGUGGGUUCAUUCUGGAGCCCCUCCCUCAUCUCUCAGUCUUCAAACGCCAGCCCAUCUAUCUAAUCCCUUUGCUGGAAUCACGCCGAUGGUCUCACCGAUCCUUCCCCCUUGCAUUCUUCCACUUCCCACCUCCAUGCAAUGCCCGAUCAGCAAGCCACAUUUCCCUUUAAAUGUGAAGACUCACCUGAAAGCCCACCACCUCUUCCGAGAAGCCUCCCCUGAUUAAGUGGGGAUGAAGGAGCUUUCGAAGCAUGGCUGACAGACUCCCGAUAAAUGAGAACACACACACACACACACACACACACACACCCAAAACAAACACAGAAACUCACAAGAAGAGCAAAUUACACAUUCGCCACUUUCGGACAGCACGCUUCUUUGAGGCUUCCUAGAUGCACGUGUGAAGGGGACUGCCACUUGCCGGAUAUGGAUGGCACGAAUGACACCGAACGAAGUGGGUCCUGGCAGUGCUUCCGGGCUGGUGGAUCACACUGCCCAGGAGGACCCUGCGUCUGAGACCAGUAAAUGCCUUAACCACGUAGUGUUCUCGUCAGGGAGAUUUCACGACUCCAUGCCCCCAUCCUUCUUGGGCAAACAUGCUGGGACCAUGGUACACGUGGAUAAAGGACCAAAACACUCUAGAGAAGGCCCUGCGGAGAGAAUGGCGGGCAAGCUUCCUGGCAAGUCUCCACGUUCAGCCUCAACUAAGGCUGCUGGGGGGCAAGGGGAUCUGUAGGGAGCCCUGGAUCGGAGGCAAUCACAUCAGAAGUAGAAGCAGACAUGUUCGAUCUCCAGAAGACCGCCCUCCGGGGCCAGAGGCCUGGGAGACUCAUGGCAUCAAAUGACCAGAACGAGGAGAACACAGAUGGAAUGGUGAUAGCUGGCAAUUAGAACAUGGCACCAAACACCACUGCCACAGACGCUUUCUAGCUACAAAGCCACGCUAGGCAACCUUAAAGCAAAACAGUAUCGAUUUUGUGGUUGUAAAAACGUACCUUCAACUGCAGAACUCAGUUUUAUGACACCUUGAAUAAAAACAAAAAGUGGCAGUUAUAUAAUGGACCCAGAUCUCCUAGUCUCCUCAACACACACACAUGCUUCAGACCUAGAGUUUUUGCCGGCAUGUUGAGAGUUUAACUGAACAAGUAACAACUUGGAAAACAAGGUCGUUUUCAGUCCUCGAUUAGACCUGAUGGCGUCUUCACUUCCUCCGCUAAAACCGUUUGGGGGAGUUUUUCACUAAAGAAGGGAUCUGACGUGUUUUUGGCCAAAACAAAGGCCAAGUCUGUGUGAAUGACUAUUUCUGUAUGGAAGUCGUGCUGGAUAAUGAAUCGAUAAAACUUCACCCAGCAGGACACCGGUGUCUAGUACUUUCUAUUUAGUGCUAUGUAUAGAGAUCAUUUGAUACAUGUUGGGACAGGGUAUCUGUUGAGAUAUACAGAAGGUGAUUAAAAGCCAUGGUGUGAUCUGGCAACUUCCUUCUCUGAGGUGGUUGGGCCAAAGGCCAUUUACUGUUCAGAUGUGGUCAGUGUUCCAGCUCCCUGCAGGUCAGUGAACCGGCCCUCUGAGUGUGUCAGAUUGCUCAUGAACCAAGGAGACCUUACUCCUGACUGGACACUCAUGUGCCUUUUUGAUGUGUUUAAGGAUGAAAAUACUCAACUGAGAUCAACUAGACUGGGUGCAAUGAUUUGAUCAAACGAUCGUUGUUUUUUGGUGGGUUAUAGUUACAAAUAAAUAAUAUUCCCCAAACCCUAUGUGAUGGCCAUGAUACUUGAGGCUGAGCAAAAAUGUCUAUUUACAGUUUCAUGUGGUUGGCAUUCUGGUUCUCUUUCCAACCAGAGGAGUUUCAAAUUAAAAAUGGAAACAAAACCCUUGCAAAGUCGGUAAGCCAAAUCGGGAUGAGUGUGAACACGCACUGAUUUUAACAGAUUAGGUUAACAAAGAGACAAACUUGCUCUCCGGUCAGUGUUUAACGAGGGACUCUCCAGGGCGAAAAGUAUGCAUAUAAAUGUAUGUAUGUUUAUUAUGGUUUUUACUGAUAGACAUGAUGUGUGAUACAUAACCUACAAAUAAUAAUAAAAUCCACGGUGCUCUUUACUGCACAUUCCUUAUAGCCACUUGAUUUUCGCGGAAUGCUUUUGUUGAUUUUGGUCAAACUCUCGUAUUCAUAGCCAGCAAGUCAACUGUGAUUUGCACAGUUGCAAAUCAUUGCAAUUGCAAUCAUGCAUCGAAUGUCAUCCCAACCCCCUCUUUCCCUAAUAAAUGUAUUAUCAUUACACCUC